UAAAAAGUGUUGAUAGAGAGAAAGAUAUCUAAACUUUUAACUACAGAGAGCCAAGGUUUGCUGAGAUUUGGCGUUGAAGAAGAUAUGGAAUGAUCACUCUUGAACUGUCUGAUCGAAAGGAUGUCUAAGUAGAUUGGGUCGGGUGCUACCGUUAUAUAGCUAGGAUUAAAAGAAUUAGUCUUUGAUCUGAAUAAAGAGUCAAUUAAUUAUUUUUAUUAAUUGAAACUAGGGUGGUACCGCGAAUAUAAUCUCUCGUCCCUAAG
rnacentral:ncRNA from 1 species